rnacentral:rRNA from 3 species
AAUCAAGUGCCUUAAGGGUGUUCGGUGGAUGCCUUGGCGCUGAGAGGCGAUGAAGGACGUGCUACGCUGCGAUAAGCCGUGGGGAGCUGCGAAGAAGCUUUGAUCCGCGGAUUUCCGAAUGGGGAAACCCACCUUCGAUAGCCGGAACUCCAAGACCUUGUGUGUUGGGGUUCGACCAGAAAUGCGAGAAAUCAAACCGCGAGGUUUUGGAUUUCGGGUUAUCAAGAGAAGGUAUGAGACUUCUGAAUACAUAGGAGGUUUCAAGCGAACCCAGGGAACUGAAACAUCUAAGUACCUGGAGGAAAGGACAUCAACAGAGACUCCGUUAGUAGUGGCGAGCGAACGCGGACCAGGCC